UAGCUCAGUUAGUAGAGAGUCUGCCUGCAAUGCAGGAGACCCUGGUUCGAUUCCUGG
rnacentral:tRNA from 1 species